GAUGAAGAACGCAGCGAAAUGCGAUAAGUAAUGUGAAUUGCAGAAUUCAGUGAAUCAUCGAAUCUUUGAACGCACAUUGCGCCCGCUAGUAUUCUGGCGGGCAUGCCUGUCCGAGCGUCAUUUCAACCCUCAAGCCCCCGGGCUUGGUGUUGGGGAUCGGCGAGCCUCCGCGCCCGCCGUCCCCUAAAUCUAGUGGCGGUCUCGCUGUAGCUUCCUCUGCGUAGUAGCACACCUCGCACUGGGAAACAGCGCGGCCACGCCGUCAAACCCCCAACUUCUGAACGUUUGACCUCGGAUCAGGUAGGAAUACCCGCUGAACUUAAGCAUAUCAAUAAGCGGAGGA
rnacentral:misc_RNA from 1 species